GACGAACGCUGGCGGCGUGCUUAACACAUGCAAGUCGAACGGAAAGGCCCUGCUUUUGUGGGGUGCUCGAGUGGCGAACGGGUGAGUAACAUGUGAGUAACCUGCCCUUGACUUUGGGAUAACUUCAGGAAACUGGGGCUAAUACCGGCUAGGAGCUCCUGCUGCAUGGUGGGGGUCGGAAAGCUUCGGCGGAUGGGGAUGGACUCGCGGCUUACUAGCUUGUUGGGGGGGUAGUGGCCUACCAAGUGUUUGACGGGUAGUCGGCCUGAGAGGGUGACCGGCCACAUUGGUACUGAGAUACGGCCCAGACUCCUACGUGAGGCAGCAGUGGGGAAUAUUGCACAAUGGGCGGAAGCCUGAUGCAGCAACGCCGCGUGCGGGAUGACGGCCUUCUGGUUGUAAACCGCUUUCGCCUGUGACGAAGCGUGAGUGACGGUAAUGGGUAAAGAAGCACCGGCUAACUACGUG
rnacentral:rRNA from 1 species